GACGAACGCUGGCGGCGUGCUUAACACAUGCAAGUCGAACGGUGAAGCGAGUGCUUUCACUCGUGGAUCAGUGGCGAACGGGUGAGUAACACGUGAGUAACCUGCCCUUCACUCUGGGAUAAGCACUGGAAACGGUGUCUAAUACUGGAUACGACCAACCCUUGCAUGGUGUGUUGUGGGAAAUAUUUAUCGGUGGUGGAUGGACUCGCGGCCUAUCAGCUUGUUGGCGGGGUAAUGGCCCACCAAGGCGACGACGGGUAGCCGGCCUGAGAGGGUGACCGGCCACACUGGGACUGAGAUACGGCCCAGACUCCUACGGGAGGCAGCAGUGGGGAAUAUUGCACAAUGGGCGAAAGCCUGAUGCAGCGACGCCGCGUGAGGGAUGACGGCCUUCGGGUUGUAAACCUCUUUCAGCAGGGAAGAAGCGAAAGUGACGGUAACUGGAGAAGAAGCACCGGCUAACUACGUG
rnacentral:rRNA from 1 species